GAUGAACGCUGGCGGCGUGCCUAAUACAUGCAAGUCGAGCGAACAGACGAGGAGCUUGCUCCUCUGACGUUAGCGGCGGACGGGUGAGUAACACGUGGCUAACCUACCUAUAAGACUGGGAUAACUUCGGGAAACCGGAGCUAAUACCGGAUAAUAUAUUGAACCGCAUGGUUCAAUAGUGAAAGACGGUUUUGCUGUCACUUAUAGAUGGAUCCGCGCCGCAUUAGCUAGUUGGUAAGGUAACGGCUUACCAAGGCAACGAGGCGUAGCCGACCUGAGAGGGGGAUCGGCCACACUGGAACUGAGACACGGUCCAGACUCCUACGGGAGGCAGCAGUAGGGAAUCUUCCGCAAUGGGCGAAAGCCUGACGGAGCAACGCCGCGUGAGUGAUGAAGGUCUUCGGAUCGUAAAACUCUGUUAUUAGGGAAGAACAAAUGUGUAAGUAACUAUGCACGUCUUGACGGUACCGAAUCAGAAAACCACGGCUAACUACGU
rnacentral:rRNA from 1 species